rnacentral:rRNA from 1 species
GUGCCAGCCGCCGCGGUAAUACGUAGGUGGCAAGCGUUAUCCGGAAUUAUUGGGCGUAAAGCGCGCGUAGGCGGUUUUUUAAGUCUGAUGUGAAAGCCCACGGCUCAACCGUGGAGGGUCAUUGGAAACUGGAAAACUUGAGUGCAGAAGAGGAAAGUGGAAUUCCAUGUGUAGCGGUGAAAUGCGCAGAGAUAUGGAGGAACGCCAGUGGCGAAGGCGACUUUCUGGUCUGUAACUGACGCUGAUGUGCGAAAGCGUGGG